UUGUAACGUAUGGUUGAAAGAGAGACUAUAUUAACAUUUAAGAUUUUCAUAAUAAUUGAUGAACUGGUCGGCUACCGGCUCCAAUACUCUUACGAGAAAUGUAAGUACGUGAGUGUUUGAAUGAAACACACUGGAACUAUAACCAGUUGCUUUACUUGUCCUGGCCACUCGAUACGGGAAAGACUGUUCUCUUUGGUAAGCUAGUUAGCGUUAGCGCCGGUAGUUUGCUAGUUAGCAUGCUAGCUUGGAGCAUGCUAGCUUGGAGCAUGCUAGCGUUCAACACGAUGACCUGCACCAAAAAUAAACAACCUAGAUUAUUUUUUGUGUUUGGUGUUGCUUAUGCGUUAGGUUGUUGGUAUAUCCAUAAAAUAUUAUUGUCUUUCCCAUUUCAUAUUGAAAACACGUUUUUAAAGCAAUUGGGGCUAAAUAUAGAUUGCAAGGGUGGAGGGCUGAAUUGGUUACUGCAUGCUUAAAGGCUGGCGUCUCAGUCUUUACGCACCGUUGUGUCGACGCACACAUUUCAAUUCAUGGUUCUAACGGGCUCCACCUGGUGUUCUGGCGCUGAAUUGCUCUGCAACACAAGGAAGACUUUUAGAACCAUGAAUUGAAACGAGUGCGUCGACGCAACGACGCAGAAGCAUGCGCCAGCCUUAACACACCUGCGGUUAUCAUUAGUAUUAGUCACUUUACUAUUACUGUCAUCAUAAACCCAAAUUACCACCUUUGCCUUUUCCCUGAAGUCUUUGUGCUUUCCCUCCUCACAGGUUUCUGUGGAUGGUGGUUUACAUCUGAUGGAUGUUGUCUCUGCACUGGUCCUGCCUUACACCUGGCUUAAUGAUUCACAAUAUUUGAAUAAUUUUUGUUGUAGGAAUUUAAUGUACUGUACAUCUUUAAGUUGUUUAUACUCUACACACCUACUUCUCUGCUGUUUUCCCCUCAGGUUUCUCCCAGUUUAAUUUCAUGUGACGGGUAGUGUCAAGGGGUCGGGCUGACGUCAUCAAUGAGUAAGAGUCGCUGGAUGCCUUGUCGGGUGCCCGCUGGUUCAGUACCAUGGAUCUGGCCAGUGGGUACAAUCAAGUUGCCGUGGCAGAGGCCGACAAGAACAAGACAGCUUUUUGUACGCCUAUCGGGUUGUUCGAAUUUAACCGUAUGCCCUUUGGUCAGUGCAAUGCACCAGGCAUUCAUCCUGGAAGUCGAUGCCAGCUACAGUGGUCUUGGAGCAGUGCUCUCGCAGGAGCAGAGUGGUAAGGUGAGACCAGUGGCCUACGCCAGCAGAGGAUUGAAGCCAACGGAACGAAAUAUGACAAAUUACAGUUCCAUGAAGUUGGAGUUCUUGGCGCUCUAGUGGGCCAUGACCGAGAAAUUCAGGGAAUAUCUCCUGGGUCAGAAGUGUGUGGUGUAUACGGACAAUAACCCUUUAAGUUAUCUAUCCACGGCUAAAUUGGGUGCCCUCGAGCAGCGGUGGGCCGCUCAACUUUCUGAUUUUGAUUUCACCAUUAAGUACAGACCCGGCCGAGCCAAUGGUAAUACAGAUGGAUUAUCCCGGCAGUAUCAAACUGAUGCGCCUGCUGAAGGAUAUGGUGCCUUGAUGCCGGGCAGUGCCAUCCCCCAGAUGAUAGCACAACUCGGCAUACAACCGACCAUGGAGGUAACUAAGUCAACCGUGUCAGUUUUCCCUACCCAUUCUGCUGUAGAUCUAGCUGCGUUGCAGGAAGCUGAUCCUAUCAUCAGUCACUUUUUGUUUUUUUGGAACCGGAAAUGAGGCCCAGACCAGCGGGAGAGGCACGCCAUCCCCAAAUCAGUUUUGGAGAUGCUUCGCCAAUGGGAGAGGGUGACAAAGGAGGAGGGAGUUCUGUAUCGCCGUGUGUCUAGACCAGAUGGCGGGGAGGAAGGACGACAGCUAGUAUUGCCUGCUAAACUAAAAAAGAGGAAGUAUUGCACCAGUUACAUCAGGGCCAAGGACACCAAGGUGUAGAACGAACAACCGACCUAGUGAGACAAAGAUGCUACUGGCCAGGUAUGAUUAAUGAAAUUAAAGAGUAUUGCCAGAACUUUGAACGCUGUACAUUGGCAAAAGCGGUCCAACCAAAAGUCCGUGCCUCCAUGGGCCAUUUAUUGGCCUCCCGGCCAAAUCAGAUAUUGGCCCAUUGACUUUACCUUGCUUGAACCGGCUAGAGAUGGUAGAGAACAUGUUCUGAUAAUGACUGAUGUAUUUUCCAAGUAUACACAGGCCAUUCCCACUCGAGACCAGCGAGCACCUACAGUGGAGUUCCGUCUAGGAUUCAUUCCGACCAAGGGAAAGGUUUUGAAGCGGUACUCAUCCAGCAGCUAUUGGAGAAGAAGAGGGACUGGACGUUGUACCUCCCACAACUUAUCUCUGCCUACAACACCACCAUACACCAAUCAUCUGGUACGGUGGACCACUGGCUUGGUGAACACCAGAGGCGACUACGAGCAGCCUAUGCCGGGGCAAGACAUCGUAUGCAGGGGGCUGCACAACGGAGAGAGGAGAGACACGACCGAAAUGUUGACGAAGGGCUGACCGUGGACCAGUUGGUGUAUCUGAGGGACCACAGCGUAAGGGGAAGAAACAAGAUCCAGGAUCACUGGAACCCAACACCCUACAGAAUUUUGACACUCUAACGUUCAUCGCUUGCCACAGACAACCGUGAGUGGGCAGGGCGCUACCGUUUUAGGUCCCCUUAGUCUUAAGUCAGGGAGGUGAGUCUUAUCCUCGUCCCGAGGGUAAAAGUAGUGGGGGUAGAUGUGUUGGGUAGUGUCAAGGGGUCGGGCUGACGUCAUCAAUGAGCGCCCUAUUUUACAGGCCGUCUCCCGUUCUCUAGCAGUCCGCUGAGAGGAGAGUAGCAGGUAGGUCGCUAACUGGUAGGUUGUUUGUUAUGGGGGAAAUUGUCAGCUUACAGAUCUCAACCUGGAGUGGAGUCCCUUCGGACGUCAUUGGGGAGGGUUUAGCUCCUCAGCCUUUCCAGGUGGUGCACAAACUGCUGUUUUGCCGUAUCCGGGUACGAGUAGCGAUUAGCAAUUGUAACCAGCUGAUAUCAUAACAUUGUAUGUGGUCGUCGUGGCGCAGGGCUUAGAGAAGGUGUGCUGGGAAGCACAAGGUUAGUGGUUCGAGUCCAGGCUGCCCCAUGUUCCAUGUUGAAGUGUCCCUGAGCAAGACACCUAACCCCUAAUUGCUCCCCAGGCAAAAAUGUGAAAAACCAUGGGUUUAAAGUGUAAUGUAAGUCGCUUUGGAUAAAAGCGUCUGCUAAAUGACCUGUAAUGUAAUGUAUUCGUCCUGCGCUCCGGUUUUUGUUUCGGGUACUUGCCUACUGUUAUUUUUAUUUAUUUCGAGCGGGGGGUGCCCGUUGUGUGGAGGAAUAGCGUGGGUAUUUUCUUAGAUCAGAUUUUAGCAUGUGGUGUGAUAUUGCAUGAACUGUUUUUAACGCACUUUGUUUUGCCGUUGCGUGAGUGAGUUGCAGUGUGUGUGUGUGUGUGUUGCAUGUUUUUAGGUUGCACGGGUGAUUAGAUGUACUGGGAGAUUCGCUGCCUCCACACAGACGCUCGCCCUACCCUCAUCGUGGUUAGGGACCCGGGCAAGUACACAGAUUGUUCCGUGAUAAGCUGUCAGCCAAAUUAGAAUAGUUUUACAGUGUUUGUUUUUACUGAUGUACUAAUAAAUUAUUGUUUUGUACCACAAUAUGAUCUCUGUUCCUUGAGUAAACCGAACUGGUAUUGUUCAGUCCGGCUCGAGGACUUCCCCCUCUUAUGAUAAAGAAAAGACCCUGGUGUUAUUCCAGUAAAACAC
ensembl:lncRNA